AUUGAACGCUGGCGGCCGGCCUAACACAUGCAAGUAGAGCGGAGCUGCGGACGGGUGAGUAAUGCCUAGGAAUCUGCCUGGUAUGGGGGGCUAACGUACGGAAACGAGCGCUAAUAUCGUAUACUAUCAGAUGAGCCUAGGUCGGAUUAGCUAGUUGGUGGGGUAAAGGCCUACAAGGGCGACGUUCCGUACCAGGUCUGAGAGGAUGAUCAGUCACACUGGAACUGUGACACGGUCCAGACUCCGAAGGGAGGCAGCAGUGGGGAAUAGUGGACAAUGGGCGAAAGCCUGAUCCAGCCAUGCCGCGUGUGUGAAGAAGGUCUUCGGAUUGUAAAGCACUUUAAGUUGGGAGGCGUUACCAACAGAAUAAGCACCGGCUAACUUCGUGCCAGCAGCCGCGGUAAUAC
rnacentral:rRNA from 1 species